rnacentral:rRNA from 1 species
CCUACGGGAGGCAGCAGUAGGGAAUAUUGCUCAAUGGGGGAAACCCUGAAGCAGCCACGCCGCGUGGAGGAUGAAGGUUUUCGGAUUGUAAACUCCUUUUGUUAGAGAAGAUAAUGACGGUAUCUAACGAAUAAGCACCGGCUAACUCCGUGCCAGCAGCCGCGGUAAUACGGAGGGUGCAAGCGUUACUCGGAAUCACUGGGCGUAAAGAGCGCGUAGGCGGGAUAGCAAGUCAGAUGUUAAAUCCUAGGGCUUAACCAGAGAACUGCAUUUGAGACUGUUAUUCUAGAGUAUGGGAGAGGUAGGUAGAAUUCUUGGUGUAGGGGUAAAAUCCGUAGAGAUCAAGAGGAAUACUCAUUGCGAAGGCGACCUGCUAGAACAUAACUGACGCUGAUGCGCGAAAGCGUGGGGAGCAAACAGGAUUAGAUACCCCGGUAGUC